AUGGAAGAUUGCUGCAGCAAUGGUGGAAGGGAGCAGAUAUUAAUGAGAAGACUUCCUCAGGUCACCUGCACGGAUGCACUAUGUUCUAUUUUCCGUACAGUCCUUUCCUGCUCUACUAUGUUGUGGCUGUGGUUCAGUGGAAAGGGUAUUCAUUUCGGAGUAAGAAGAACUGGGAUCAAAUCGCACCUCUGAUGCCUGUUGCUCCUGUGACCCUGGGCCCCAGCUUCUUCUCUGCCUGGUGUUCCUGGAGCAAUCAGCAAGUGGAGCUUCCUGUUCUGGCUUCAGAAAAAUGCCAGAGACCAGCAGCUGGUGAUAGACCCUCAAAUCAACCUUUAAAGACAAAUGUAGAAGAGACCAUAAACAGAGGGUCUGGGGAGAGAGACCCCCCACAGCCAAUAUUCUGGAGAGGGGAUGAAGAAGGGGACAAACCUGAAGGUACCAUAGGGAGCCCAUUGCUUGGAAGAUGGGGAUGCCUCAGGGACUGGGGGUGGGAGGAAGGAGCUCAACUAGAGCUGAUUAGGAAGGAUGCAGCCUACUAUUUGGCAGCUUCCAAUUUUAACUCAUUAUUCCUGUUAAUCAGAAGCUAGGCUCAGUGAUUUGGAGAUGCUCAUUCAAAGGUAUAAGUACUAUGUUAAUGCCCUUGGUAUUUCUGUGCCCUGACAAAAAAACUGUGGUCAUCCCACCUUGGUGGGACUUGAUCUUAGAAAGUCAGGACAGAGGACAUCUCUGAAUAUGGCUUCCCUGUGGUCUUAGAUGAGUGUAGAGCAGUGGAUUCCAUAACAAGGACUAGAAAGCCCA
rnacentral:lncRNA from 1 species